rnacentral:lncRNA from 1 species
CUCUUCCAGCUUAGUUCACAGCGAGGAAAGGAGGAAAGGUGGUAUCAACAAGAUUUCCUAUUUGGGGGAGAAAAAAAAUUUGCUGAACUUGGAUCGACAUAAGAUUAGCAGUGUUUAUGUUCUAUAUGGCUUUUAUCUCCAGUAGGUUCGAGAUAACACCAGCAUUUGUGGGAAUAAGAUUUCUUGGUAAUCAAGGCAAAAAACNNNNNNNNNNNNNNNNNNNNNNNNNNNNNNNNNNNNNNNNNNNNNNNNNNNNNNNNNNNNNNNNNNNNNNNNNNNNNNNNNNNNNNNNNNNNNNNNNNNCACCAGCAUUUGUGGGAAUAAGAUUUCUUGGUAAUCAAGGCAAAAAACAACGUUUUGGUAUAUUUUCUCUGAUUGCUAAAGAUGGUUAUUUUUCAGGUGAGGGAACUAAGGAGAACACAUCUGGUAUAAUACCUCAGUAAAAAUAAAUUUUAAAAGUGAAGCAUCACAUUGAUGUAGCUCCCUGGCAGCCUGUGUUUCAGGAAACCUCUGCUAUCCCUCUUGCCUUCUUUAGGUCCUGUGGCUUCAACCUUGAACAAUGAAGGUCAUCCCCACAAAGCCUUGGAAGGCUGUUAUGAGUGUCUCAAACUCAGAGCAUUUAUGUCAGUAAACAUGGAGGAAAACUGUACAAAAACCAAGCACAACUGCAGUUUUAAUAGCUUGAAAACUGCUCUACCCCUAACUAGUUCAGCUUUAGAUUACUGCAGCCUCCUGGGCUCUCCCAGUCCAUGUGUAUGCUUUUCUAAGCAAUUUUUAAUGCCAAAUAUGUUGAUUUUCUUGGCUAAAAGCAUACUGAAUAAAAAGCAUCAUAAAGUGUGUGUAUGCGUGUGUGUGUGUGUGUGUGUGUGUGAGAAGAGAGUGUUGAUUCUAAAUUGAACACUGAAAGAUUAUAUGAGGACACAACUUUGUUUUAUAGCAACAGUUUGGGGCAUUUUUAAAUAACUCAGAUAGGUCGUGCAUGGAUACCCUCUCUCCCCAAUGGAAAACCAUCAUCACCAAACUCCAUCAACUUUGCAGAAGGUGCAAGGCGCACCUCACCUGCCAAUCUCUACAGGUGUCAGCCUUGCACAAAAACAUGACAACCAGCAUUUCAGAAAGGAAAGAGAUCUGCCAAUUCACCUACCUUGUAUAUUUCACAGACAGGAAAUUUGAAAAGGUUUCGAGUCCCGAAGUUUGGUUGUUUAUACUGAUCCUGCCACUGAUAAGUUGCCGGGGCCUGCCACCUGUCAACUUUGUCCAACCUCCCCCCAAAGGAAGCUGUAAGGGUGCAUGUGCCAUUACUGUAGAAUAUGGGAUAUUAAAAUAAAAAAUAUUCCAGCUCUUUGAUUUCCUCUGAUUUUGUGGGUAAUACAAUAACCAGAAUGAGAUAGCUGAAACCAAUAAAAUCUGAUUUAUAGCAUUAAAGGCAAUCUUUAUAGCACUUAUUUAUGGUACAUUACAUCUAAAAUCCAAUUUCACAGGCUGCUGUUUGAAACUUUCUGUUCAAUCAUAAAUACACUACAUACACUGUACCUCAGUGCCAUAGAGUUAGAUUAUAUAAAUGUCUGUAUCCCCAGAAGGUAUUAAAAUUCGGUUACUAUGGUGGAGAGUGAGCUUGACAGUCAUUUUCCUAACCAACUCUUCAACCAAAAAGAUCCAGUCAGCACUUGAUAAAUACUGAAACUGCUAGUACUCCUAUCAUUAAACCAAAACAAAAAAAUCACUGCUCAGAAAACUCUGAAUUCUGGAAUGAAAAUAAUUGAGAAGAAGUCACAUAGAAAUGCGAAAGCUGGUGAUGCUGAAGGAUACUUGCUUCAACGUCAUGGGGUACAUUUUCUAGCCAGUGAGCAAAAGUACCUCCUUGAAAGACAUCAUUGGUAUUAAGAAGAGACACAUGGCUAAGUCUAUACAUGCUACUUUGGAAAUAUAACCUUAAGUGUCUACAUUCGUACACUUCAAUGGAGAAGACUAUAUUCUGUUCAAUUACUAUAAUCAUCAUCAAAGAGAGGGCAAAGAAUACAAGCUGACUUUCAGAGAACUGUCAUUUGAAUCUUAAGCAACUUUCCAUUGGUUUAAAAAGAGUUUUAUCUUAAAUUCAACUCUCCAUACACUUGGUUUGUGAUGCAUUAGAUAAAUAUAAGCAGAGAGGCUGGGAUCUUUACUGGGUCUGACAAGCAAGCAGACUCUUGCUCUGGGAGAGAUCAUACUCCUUGGCACUGAAGUUUCCUAAAUACAUUUCAGCCUCAUCGUCAUCCAGAAAGGUGCACCACGCACCAUAACCUGGCUUAGGUGCUAGGCUGACAAGUCAAUCUAGAAUACAAUUCAGAACUCAGAUGCAAAUGACAGAAAGUGGCAGAAAUAGUGACUAGACUCAAUCCCCAAAUAACCGACAUCCAUUAUGCCCCUGGCACAUUCCAAGCAUUGCCCUUUGCCAGGAGGGUUUGUGGCUUGAAGCUGAUUCACUUAGAAGUUCUCCUUUUAAAAAAAAUACAAAUUUAAAAACUUAAUAUUUAGUAGGUCCUUUUUGGGCUCCAAAAUCACUGCAGAUGGUGACUACAGCCAUGAAAUUA